rnacentral:ncRNA from 1 species
GCUGAACUGAAGAUGGAGAAUAGUAGGCAAGAGUACGUGAAAAGAGAGGAACCGCCCUGGGCUGAAAGCGGUCUGCACGGUAUCUUGACCGAAUGAACACUCCGAAGGUUUCCCGCUGAAAGCCCGGCAUAACAUGCGAGCAAUUAGGCGGCGGACGUGAACCUGCGUUAAAGGCAUGAGCGGGAACGGAUUUAUCGUUCCAACUAGGGUGGCACCACGGGUAUAACUCUCGUCCCUACU